AAGAGAUCGGGAUAACACCUGGAAACAGAUGCUAAUACCGGAUAACAACAGAUGAUGCCUAUCAACUGUUUAAAAGAUGGAUCUGCUAUCACUCUUGGAUGGACCUGCGGUGCAUUAGCUAGUUGGUAGGGUAACGGCCUACCAAGGCGAUGAUGCAUAGCCGAGUUGAGAGACUGAUCGGCCACAUUGGGACUGAGACACGGCCCAAACUCCUACGGGAGGCAGCAGUA
rnacentral:rRNA from 1 species